GGAGGGGUAGCGAAGCCCGGUCAAACGCGCAGGACUCAAGAUCCCGUCCCUCAGGGGUUCGUGGGUUCAAAUCCCACCCCCUCCACCA
rnacentral:tRNA from 1 species